CACCAUAGCCUAGCCAAAUUGACACAUAAAAUUAACCAUCACAGUCAGCAAAGGUGAAUUUUCAGUGGCAGCUUGAUGUUUUAAAAUUUUUAUGAUUUUUUUUUAGUUUUAUUUAUAUAAAAUUUCUGAUAUCAUAGGAGUCAUUGGCUAGAACAAAGGUAAAACUAAAGAGGGGAAUCGCAGAUUCUAGAUAUUAUUUAGAAGGAGAAAGCAUGAAUCAUUGCUGAGCUCCAUUCUCUGUGAUGAACUGCGGGCAAUAUUUGUACAAAGGCCAAGGCAUGGAUGGGCUGCAGAGAUAGCCUUUUUAGUCUGGACUUUGCUCCAUUCCUCCUGGGCAAGAAGCACGAUCACGUGUAAAGAAACAAAGAAAACAUCUGGCUGCCACAGCUGCCUUUGAUGUUUAUUUUGUAGUUGGCAGAUUUCGAAUACAGAGAUUAAAAUGCUU